rnacentral:rRNA from 1 species
UACGAAGGGUGCAAGCGUUACUCGGAAUUACUGGGCGUAAAGGGCGCGUAGGCUGUGCUGUAAGUCAGGCGUGAAAGGCCCGGGCUCAACCUGGGAAUGGCGCUUGAUACUGCGGCGCUGGAAGGUGGGAGAGGAUGGCGGAAUUCCCAGUGUAGAGGUGAAAUUCGUAGAUAUUGGGAAGAACACCGGUGGCGAAGGCGGCCAUCUGGCCCACAUUUGACGCUGAGGCGCGAAAGCGUGGGGAGCAAACAGG